rnacentral:lncRNA from 1 species
GGGGAUAAAUGGGGGUGCUCUCCCCCAAGCUGAAUUUUGACGUAAUUUCUUUUGAUGUAGCCAGCAGGUAGCAGAGGUGUAUUUGAAAGUCGGCAGUAUCUUGCCAGCGAUUAGAAUGUCCUCCGUCUGCUAGUCUUCUUGAUUCUUAAAUUCUGUGGAGCACAAAUUGACAACAAAGCUUUGUGGAACUAAUUAAGUGUUAGCAUAAACAUCUAGCCUUUAUCAUGUUGAGACUCCUUAAUAACUAUUACUCUCUAUUUUUAUAUUUUUAUUUUAUAAAGCAGAAAAAAAUAUUUAUUUUAUUUUUAUGCCACCACAGUGAAUGUACUUAUGGGUUUCAUACCACUCGUAUACUCACAUGGGGCUUACUAUUUUUUAAUAUUUUUAUUUUCUUUUUAGGAUAGUAUGAAUAUGAUUAACUAAGCAAACUAUUUUAAUAAUUGAAAGGGAAAAGAUAACUACCAAGUUUACCUCUUGGCAAGGCGUUCGGUGUUUUUAAGUCCUCCGAACGGGACUCUCCAUUUUCUAGUUGUCCUGGGAUUCGUUGGGUGGCGUAGUCGGUACUUCCGGCGGCGCCACAUCUUCAUAUAUAGUUAUCUUCUCUCUCCAUUCCUGACUCUGUGCUACGGUCUCCUCUGGAUAAUUCUGUUUAAACUGUAUGUCUUCUGACCUUACCACUUCUCCUUCGUAGUCUGCCCAUCCGUCCUUGAUGAUUUCCCUCCUCUAGUUGCGGUUGCGUCAUUUUCUGACCUGCUUAGAGUCUUCAAUGAUAUAAUUAGAGUCAGUAAAAUAGCGGCGUACCUUCUCUGAGGGGAAGUGCAUGUGGACUUCUCCGGUUCCAAUGUAGAUGAUAGCUUUAACGGUGCUGAGGAACGGUCUUCCAAGGAUGAUGGGUGGAUCGUACUCGUCUUCUCCCAUGUCAAUAACCUGAAAGUCUGUGUAGACAAAAUGAUCGUCUAUUUUGACAGGGACAUCAGUUACUGUUCCUUUAACUUCUCGAAAUGUCUGAUCUGCCAUCUGGAGCUGAAUGUAUGUUGGUUUUAAGGGCAUGGUUCCGAACAAGAGCCGAUAGGUGACUGCGGCCAUUAUGUUGACGCCCGAUCCGGUGUCACAAGUCGUCUUGUAGAAGUUAUAUCCAUUUAUGGAGCAAUAGAUGCUUGGCAUUCCUGGGUCGUCCUUCUUGGUCAAAAAUGGUGACUUAAGUUGAUGAUCUUGGCCUCCAUGAACUGCAGUGACCAUCUUAACUGACUCGGUCCACACUUGCUUGUUCAUGUUCCUCCUGUUGGUCCUCUUCCUUGGUUCAUGUCUGGAUUGCUCUGGGAUUUGUGUAGUCUUGUUCUUGAAGGAAAACGUCUCCUUCCUCCCUUUGAUGUAGAAACUGAUCUUGGCAGCACUAGCGUAGAUGACAGCUCCCGAGGUGUUUAAGAAUGGCCUCCCUAAGAUGAUGGGUGCCCUCUCAUCAUUACCGGUCUCUAUCACCACGAAGUCUGCUGGGGCGUACAAGGUACCAACUCGGAUACAAAGGUUCUUCAAUAUUCCCUUGGGGAAACUUAAUGCCUAAUCUGCAAACUGCAAACACAUGGUUGUUUCUAAUAAAGGAUAUGUAAAGAAUUUUUCAUAGAGUAUCCUGGGUAUAAUGUUGACACUAGAGCCAAAGUCGCAGAGUGCUUCUGGGACGUCCACUAUGCCGAUGGAGAUUGGGAUGACGGGGCGUCCUGGAUCGCCUCUCUUGACCAGUAGAAGGUCAGUAGUAACUUCAGUGACGGGGUUACUCCAAUUACCUGCAUCAAACAUGUCUACAAGAUUUGCAGAUUCUAAUCCUUUCGGUUGUGAUGGUAUACCGGAGUUAGUAGCAAGAACAGCAGCAGCUAUUUGAUUUAACUGAGAUUCAAUCAUUUUAUUGAAGCUAAUUUGAUUCUUGAUGGCAGUAGAGAAAUUAUCCAUUCUAUUAUUUAUAUUUUCUAGCAUUUUAUCAUUAGAUGCCAAUUUCUUAGAUAGGUUAUCCAUCAGCUUUCCUUGAUUAGACACUAACUCUCUCAGAGGUGGAAAAUUAUUAUUAUUGUAAGAAUUGUUACCUUGAUAAUUACCUGAGUAGUUAGGCCUCUGUUGAUUCCAACCUUGAUUUUGUUGAGGACGGUUGUAGUAGUAGUAGUAGUUGUUGUUGUUGAUGUAGUUCACAUCCUCAAGCAUCUCAGGGCAGUGAUUGCUUGAGUGUCCAGUAUCUCCACACUCCUCACAAGUCAUGUGAGAGUCGUAGAUGUGCAUAACUUCCUUCUUAUCUCUAGCUCUAUCGUCGAGCUUCUUCAUGAGCAGGUCUAGCUUUGCAGACAACAUGUAUACCUCCUUGAUCCGAUGCAUACCUCCACCUUUCUUGCGUGUUUGGGUCCUCACUUCAUUCCAGCCUUGAUUGGACGCCAUCUUCUCCACAAGAGCUGUGGCUUGUGAUAUGGUAAGUGAUAGGAAUGCUCCUCCGGCUGCAGCAUCCAUGGUUUCUCGGGCACUAUUGCCGAGCCCAUGAUAAAACGUCUGCAUUAGUAGCCAACUCUCCAUUCCAUGAUGGGGACAUUCUAGGAUGUAGUCUUGGAAACGCUCCCAUGCUUCUGGAACAGAUUCAUCAUGUUGUUGCUGAAAACUUGUAAUCUUCCCACGGAGAGCAUUGGUCUUGCCCAUGGGAAAGAACUUAGCCAGAAAGUUUGUUGAGCAGAGUGCCCACGUAGUAUUCUUCUCCUUUGUAGCGUAGAACCACUGCUUCGCUCUUCCUAACAGUGAGAAUGGGAAGAGGCGAAGUAGUAUAGCAUCUCUGGGGACUCCUGAUAUGGUAAAUGUGUUGCAAAUCUCCAGGAAGUGUUGGAGAUGAGCACUAGCAUCUUCGUGUGCCUUCCCACAGAACUGGUUGGAUUGCACCAUGUUGAUAAGUCCAGUCUUGAGCUCAAAGUUGCCAUCGAUCUCUGCAGCAGGUCCAGUGCGGAUGUUGUCCGUAGUGGGAGCUGAGAACUCACGGAUCGAUUUGUUCGCCAUGGCUUCGAACUCUGAAGACAAGUUCCGGUGAUCUUCUUGAUUGGAUGAAGCUUCUUGCUGAAGUGUUGAUGAUCUCUUCUUGAGCUUUGCUCUUGUUUUUCUGAAUAACGCUUUGGGAUUGUCAACAAAAUUUCCUGGAAGAUGUCUUCUAUUCAUCCAUUACCCUGCAUAAGAUAAAAUAGGAAAAUAUCGGGGUAAAACUGUAUGAGAGAAUUGAUAAGCUCAAUCAUAUUAGUGAUGCGAAUGAUAACUCCAAAUCUAUAUCCAUUCUUGAUUAGUAAUCAACCUUCCCCGGCAACGGCGCCAAAAAUGCUUGUUGGGUAUUCUUAACAUCAUUACCAAAAGUAGACUUAGUUUUCUAAUUUUGAUAACGGUGCCAAAAAUGCCAAACCUAUCCCUCAUACCACUUAAGCCAAGUUGUCAUCCCCAGCAUGACAUGAGAGACGCAGUAUUGAAAUAUGCAAUUCCUCAUCUAAAUAAAUAACAAAUGGGAUCUGCAAGCGCACAGAUUAAUACCGAUGUAGCAUUUUAACCGGGAAGUAUUCCAGGUAUCGUUAUUUAUAUUUUUACCACUGGGAAGGGAUUAACAAUCAUCAAUGUUGAUUAUAGAAUAGAAUAUGAGAUUGAGUAUCUAUCAUUCCAUGUAUAAUUGAGAACAUUUAUCUAACUCUUUCAUACAGGGGUAAGUGUCACAUAAAGGAUAUAUAAAGUAAUGAAUAGUGACAAAGAUAAUUAAUCUAAUCAGCAUAACUUAGCCAUAUAUAAAUAUGAUAAGCACCUGCUGACAUCGUUUUUUGGCACGUGUCCAUGGUCGGUAAAAUAUAGGUUGGCAAGACAAAACGGUAAUGCUUGGUCUACAGGAUGAGUUGCCGAUGAGGAUGGUUGCCGAUGGAGGGACGGCUGAACAUGACCAAGUCAAUAGGUGAUGAUGUGUUUGUGCCGAUGACUACGACAGGGGAGUCUGCCAACGACGCGGAGGAAGAACCUAAAGGUUGCCGAUCGGCUUGUGGAGAUGUUCUAGUUUGUCACGGGAGGAUAGUUUUAUGUUUUCCUUAGUUAUUUAGAUCGUUUUGUAUACGGAUUCUGUUUAAUUUGGAAUUCGAAUUCUAGUCGUGUCUGGUUGUAGCUCUGCGAACAGGGUAUAAGUAUAGACCCUGAGGCUUUGUAAACAGACAUCUAUCAACCAAUCAAACACUAGCUUUUACUCAUAUUCUAGCAUAUACUUUUUCGACGACUUCGUCAUACUUUUUCCUUUUAUUACGAGUUCUUAGGAAUUCGUCGACUUAAGCUCGGCGUGUUCUCAAGUUCCGCGUGAAUACCUCUUGGCCGUGGCAUCCGGGCGCAUCGCUGUUGUCGGGACCAAAGUAUUCGAGUUACCACCUUUGCCGAUAGUAAGGUCAAAUCGGCUGGCACGCCUUAACGUUUAAAUCGGGUAUUAGCCCUCUGUGUUUGCAGAUCCGCUUUUGCAUCAACACAUCUUUUGGCACGCCCGGUGGGACCAGAUUCAAGGUCAAGAUCAACAUGUCGAAUACUGAGUUCGACUUGGAGAACGUUAUCCCCGUGACAGAAGAUAGCCUCAAAGACGAGCAGAAGCAAGCUAUUGCUAAAGCCAUGGAGGAUUACAAGCAGCAAUGCCUGAGGUCCUUCAGCAUAAACAGGAGCGGCGAGGUGAUCCAGAAGGAUGCGUUGCUGAUGCCUCGGCAGGUUACUUUUGAAGCCAAUCCUGAUAAACUUCAAGAGAUGGUCGAUAGUGCUAUCAACCGUGCCUUGAUCAACCAAGCCGGUGUGCUGUCCAAUACGGUUUUCAAUGCCGUGGCUAGAACUUUCAAGGAAGGACAAUUGCCACCAGAUUAUGUGAGCCCCUCUCAUCAUCAGCCAGGGUCACCAGUGGUCAGAGCUCCAUCGGCUGCUACAGCCGCUGCGGGCACGAAAAUUCCUGUUCCUCCAAGCACGUUAGGAGUCACUAAUGCACGAUCUACGCUGACGACAAAUCCACCGACUUCAGAUGGGCAGAUUAAACUCGCUACAGAUCUGUUGGCAUCGGCAAUGUCGGGAUCGAUUCCUCCUCCUAACUGGUGGGGUUAUGGUAUGCCUCCAUAGUUAACACCGGGUACAUCACAGACGACUGAUGUGAGAGGCAAGGCUACUAUGGCAUCGGCACCCCCAAGCAUGCCGAUGAUCAGAGUUCCCGGUAUACUACAACUACUACUGUGAGACAUUACACUGGGAAUUCUCAAGUUCCGACGUUCCAGAUGCCUAAUACAUCGGCAGACUCAAUGCUGAUGCAACAGAGGUAUAUGACUCAGCCAGGGUACGUCAAUUCAAUGAUGAUGCCCAAUUUCCAGUCAUCGGCAGGAUCUAUGCCGAUGAAUGCUAACUGUGGAUGGCUUGGGCAGCAAGUCUUUCCACAAACGCCCCAACCGAAUCAUCAGGCUACAGGGUUCCAGCAAAGCUAGAUCUAUCCCGAGUUCCAGAACCAAGGGGCAGUCAAUCAGCCGAUGAAUCAUGGACAACAGAUCGCUGGUCAGCAAUUUGGAGGUCAACAUCUGAGAGGCCAACAGAUCGGCGGACCGCAGAUCGGCGCACAACAGCUCGGUGGUCCGCAGAUAGGGGGACAAAUUAUUAAUCCAAUGUUCUAUGCAGAUCGCGCACCGCACCGACACGUGAAAGCUUACCAGCAGGCGCCAGAUCUGCAACCACCUCAUCGGUAGGAUGCCGAUGCUUAUUGGGCCGAUAAGAUUGCCAAAGUAAUGGGAGAUCAAUUUGGGAUAAAACCCAAAGUCAACACUUACUCUUAUCGGACACCGUAUCCUCCCGCGUAUGAUUUGAUCCCGCUUCCAAAUCGGUAUAAGGUACCGGAUUUUACUAAGUUUUCUAGGCAGGACGACACAUCAACCAUGGAACAUGUCAACAGGUUCAUCAUCCAGUGCGGGGAAGCUGGUAACAGGGACGAGUUAAGGGUUCGCUUAUUCUCGUCAUCAUUGUCCGGAUCGGCUUUCACCUGGUUUAUAUCAUUACCUCCCAAUUCAGUAAUUACUUGGGCCCAUUUGGAGAAACCAUUCCACAAAUACUUCUUUUCUGGGGUCCAUGAGAAAAAGAUCACCGAUUUGGUCAAACUGAGGCAACGCAAUGAUGAAUCGGUUGAGGGUUUUGUGCAGAGGAUAUGGGAAGUUAAGAACAAAUGCUAUAGCCUGGUUCUGGAUGAUCGGCAGCUAGCCAAUUUGGCUUUCCAGGGUCUGUUGCCGCACAUAAGGGACAAGUAUGCAUCUCAGGAGUUUGAAAGCUUAAGUCAUUUGGUGCAGAGGAUUUCUGAUCAAGAUAUCAAACCUUUCGAGCCCAAGAGAGCAUGGAACAAGAAGGUGUCCUAUGUUGAUGAAGCAGCAAGCUCAGAUUCUGAUGAAGAAACGGUCAUCAGCUUGGCAGAGUGGGUGAAAAACAAGAAGCCGAUGUCUUGCCCUUUUGGGCAUAAAGAGCCAGAGAAGUUCGCGUUUGAUAUCACUAAGGCCGAUCAGAUAUUUGACUUUCUACUUCAGGAAGGUCAGAUCAAAUUAUCACCUAAUCAUGUGAUCCCAUCGGCUGAGGAGUUGAAGAAGAUGAAGUAUUGUAAAUGGCACAAUGCAACUUCUCACAGCACCAAUGAGUGCAAAGUGUUUAGGCAACAGCUGCAAUUGGCUAUAGAGUCAGGGAGGAUCAAAUUUGACAGCUCCAAAGCUCAGAAGCCGAUGAAGAUUGAUCAACAUCCUUUCCCAACAAACAUGUUGGAUGCUAAGGGAAAGGCCAAGGUCUUAACAUCGAAAGCAGCUGAAAGAAGUGCAUCGGUGGAUCCUCAGCAUCAAAUCACUACUGCCGAUGCAAAAGGAAAAGGCCUAGUCCAGGAGGGAACUAACCCAGGAAGGCCUCCCCGAUCUGGUAUUGUGAUAACUCACAGAAGGCCUCGGGAGACUUGGUAGCAGCGUGAGGAUCGGUAUCGGCGCCAGCAAGAGGACUAUCGCCGGGAAGAAGAAAGACGUCGGCAGGAGUGGAACCGGCAUAGGGAUCACUGGAAUUGCCCGUUUUUCAUUCAUUGUUGGGAGGAGAAUAUCAAGCUUCCAACUAUCAGAGAUUGUCCUGAGUGCAACAGUUAUAAUCGGUAUGACAGAUCCGAUCGGCGCUAUCACGAAGAUGAUCGGCGAUUUAACGGGCCCAUUAGGGGGAGAGCGUCCGUUCAUGAUCGGCUGGGGGGCAGGCUCAGUGUGCACGACAAGCUUGGCGAUCGUGCUCAAUAUUUUCCCAGGAACCAUGAAGAAGUCCAAGAGAUGGCUAAAGCGCGGGUUCCCGAUGAGUUCAUUUUCUGUCGGGACGCCAACACUCAUCGGAUGGAGUCAAGGGAAAAUCGUCGCCCAGCGGUAAGGCAGCAGCAACUUCCUCCAUGGUGUCCAGAGGGGUUGACCAGGACAUAGAAGAGAAGAUUGCAGCGAGAAGGGCUAAGCAAGGGCGAGAGCUCUGGACAGUCUGGGAAUCAGCGGCAAUCAGAUCCCAAGGGGGAAGGUCCAUCGGCAGAUAUCAAUAUGGUCUUUAUGUUGCCGAUGGAAUUUCUUGCGCCAUCCAGUGAUGAUGAGUUGGAGUUUUCCGACCAGAUAGCUCAGAUGGCUCUGGAUCUGAUGACUGCCAUCUUUGAGAAGCCUGCCGAUGAUGAAAGGCAGCACCUUAAGGCUCUGUUUGUCAAAGGAAGGGUUGAUGGUCAGCCGAUAACCAAGAUUCUAGUCGAUGGUGGAGCGGCUAUCAACAUUAUGCCGUAUGCAGUGUAUCGGAAACUUGGGAAAGGAGACCAAGAUUUGACCAAGACUGAUAUGAUGCUCAAAGACUUCGAGGGGAAUGUGUCUCCGGUCAAGGGAGCCAUAUGCGUUGAAUUGACCAUCGGCAGUAAAACCUUGCCGACAACCUUCUUCGUGAUCAGUGGAAAGGGUGCCUACAACUUACUGUUGGGAAGAGAUUGGAUUCAUGCCAAUUGUUGCAUCCCGUCUACAAUGCACCAGUGCUUGGUUCAGUGGGUAGGUGAUAAAAUUGAGAUUGUUCCACGAGAUUCUUCUUAUGUCAUCGCAUCGGCAGAAGCAGAUACCUAUGAAAAGACUAGGUGUAUUUCGGGGGAAGCUUGGGAAAAGGAUUUCCUCAAGGUUGCUGAUUAUGAAAUUCCACCGAUCCAAGCAGUCGGUUCUGAAGAUGGUUUUUAAUGGAUAGGUUCGCCGAUGAUGGAAAGUUAGGCCAGGGGUUCACAUCGGUCGAUGAUCUAGUAGAAGUAGAUAUAGGGAGUGGUGAUAAACCUAGGCCUACUUUUAUUAGUGCCAAGUUGAAUUCUGAGUGUAAGCAACAGUUAACUGAUUUGUUAAAGGAAUAUAAAGACUGCUUCGCUUGGGAUUAUACUGAGAUGCCUGGUUUAGACCGAUCAAUUGUUGAACAUCGGUUGCCUAUCAAGUCUGGAUUUCGGCCACAUCAGCAGCCAGCUCGCCGAUGUAAUCCUAACAUUCUUCCUGACAUCAAGGCCGAAAUAACUAAACUUAUUGAAGCCAAAUUUAUUCGGCAGUGUCGGUAUGCCGAGUGGAUUUCCAAUGUUGUUCCGGUUUACAAGAAGAACGGGAAGCUUCGGGUCUGCAUUGAUUUCAGGAAUCUUAACAAAGCUACACCGAUGGAUGGCUACCCAAUGCCAAUUGCCGAUCUGCUAGUUGACGCUGCGGCUAGGCAUCGGAUUAUUAGCUUUAUGGAUGGCAAUGCAGGAUACAAUCAAAUAUUCAUGGCUAAAGAAGAUAUUCCAAAGACUGCAUUUAGAUGUCCUGGUCAUGUUGGGUUGUUUGAAUGGAUAGUCAUGACCUUUGGCUUGAAGAAUGCUGGUGCUACUUAUCAGAGGGCCAUGAAUUGUAUAUUUCAUGAAUUCAUCGGCAAGUUGGUGGAAAUUUAUAUUGAUGAUGUGGUGGUUAAGUCUGGAGACUUCACAAAGCAUCUUGCCGAUCUACGAAAGGUGUUGGAGUGCACAAGGAAGCAUGGUUUGAAAAUGAAUCCCAAUAAGUGUGCGUUUGGUGUAUCGGCAGGACAGUUUCUUGGUUUCAUGGUGCAUCAAAGGGGGAUUGAAAUUAGUCGAAGAUCUAUUGAUGCCAUCAAUAAAAUAGUUGCCCCUACCAAUAAGACUGAGCUCCAGUCCUUGAUCGGCAAGGUAAAUUUUAUCAGAAGAUUUAUAUCUAAUUUGUCUGGUAAAAUUCGUGCUUUCAGUCCUCUUCUUAAGAUAAAGGCCGAUCAAGAAUUUGUAUGGGGAAAAGAACAACAGUUGGCUCUAGAUGAAAUCAAGAAUUAUUUAGUAAAUCCUCCAGUUCUGAUUCCACCUCAGCAAGGGAAGCCCUUCAGAUUGUAUUUGUCUACCGAUGGAAUGGUUAUCGGUUCAGCUUUAAUUCAAGAAUUUGAAGGGAAAGAAUGUGUAAUUUAUUACUUAAGUAGAAGGUUGAUUGAUGCUGAGACUAAGUAUUCGGCCAUUGAGAAAUUAUGCUUGUGCUUGUAUUUCUCUUGCAUCAAGUUAAGGCACUACUUGCUAUCGGCCGAAUGCACUGUUAUUUGCAAGGAUGAUGUGGUCCGAUACAUGCUGUCUAUGCCGAUCAUGAGUGGUAGGAUCGGUAAAUGGAUUUUGGCGCUGUCGGAAUUCGAUCUGCGUUAUGAAUCGGCCAAGGCAGUCAAGGGACAGAUUAUGGCCGACUUUAUAACUCAACAUUGUGGUGCAGUGGAGGCUUUGGAAAUUGUACCUUGGACGUUCUUCUUUGAGGGAUCCACGUGUGAACGGAGGGUAGGAAUCAGCAUAGUAUUAAUUUCCCCUCGGGGAAGGAAGUAUGAGUUUUCCUUGCCGAUUAUUGCCACGUCGACGAAUAAUCAGGCUGAAUAUCAGGCUUUAAUUAAAGGGUUGGAGUUAUUAAGAGAAGUUCAUGCUGACGCUGUUGAGGUCUUCGGGGAUUCUAUGCUAGUUAUAAAUCAAUUGGCUGGAAGCUAUGAAUGCCGAAGUGAAGUUCUCAUAACUCAUUACGAAAGGAGUAUGCAACUGUUAAAGGAAUUCAAAGAUUUCCGAUUAGAGCAUGUUCCUCGGUUGCAUAAUGAAGAGGCCAAUCGGUUGGCUCAGCAUGCCUCGGGAUAUCAGCCUAUGAUUAAUGCAAUAUCGGCAAUCGGUGCCGAUGAUUGGAGGAAAGAAAUCAUUGAUUAUUUGAAGAAUCCAUCUAGGAAAGUUGAGAGACGGGUUCGCUUUCAAGCCACCAAGUAUGUGCUCCUCGAAGAUGAAUUGUAUUAUCGAACUAUUGAUGGGAUUCUUCUCCGGUGCUUAGGUGAUGAUGAAGCUAAGGGUUUGAUAGGAGAAAUCCAUGAAGGGGCAUGUGGAGCACAUCAGUCGGCUUUUAAGAUGAAGUGGAUGAUUAGAAGGAAUGGAUAUUAUUGGCUGACUGUACUUAAAGAUUGCUUUAAGUAUUUUAAAGGGUGUCAAGGAUGUCAAAAGUUUGGUAAUGUUCAAAGGGCGCCUGCAUCGGCUAUGAAUCCUAUUAUAAAGCCUUGGCCGUUCCGAGGAUGGGCUAUUGAUUUGAUCGGCCAAAUUUAUCUGCCGUCCAGCAAAGGGCAUAAAUUUAUUUUGGUUGCCACCGAUUGUUUCACUAAGUGGGUUGAAGCUGUUCCUUUGAAGAAAGUUACAUCGGCCAAUAUGAUUGAUUUCCUGAAGGAACACAUCAUUCACCGAUUUGGAAUUCCUCAGACGAUUACUACCGAUCAGGGCACCAUAUUCACAUCAGGGGAGUUUGAUGAAUUUGCAAUCGGUAUGGGAAUUAAAGUAUUAAAUUCUUCUCCUUACUAUGCUCAAGCUAAUGGGCAGGCCGAGGCAUCUAACAAAGGGAUUAUCAAGCUUAUUAAACGAAAGAUUGAAGAAAAUCCUAGGAGAUGGCAUACGUUGUUGAAUGAAGCCUUGUGGUCAUACCGGAUGGCUUGUCAUGGAUCGACCAAGGUUUCACCUUAUCAAUUGGUGUAUGGGCAUGAUGCAGUGCUACCUUGGGAGAUUAAGGCUGGGUCUAGGCGAAUAUCUUUUCAAGAUCAAUUAGCCGCUGAUGAUUAUGCUACUUUAAUGACAGAUGAGUUGGAUGAUCUAGCAGGACAUCGGCUGAAGGCCUUGAUGAGUAUAGAAGAGAAUAAGAAGAGAGUUGCCAGAUGGUAUGACAAGAAAGUAAAGGCUAAGGAGUUUGCCGAUGGAGAUUUGGUAUGGAAAUUGAUCUUACCGAUCGAGACUAAAAGUUCAAAAUUUGGGAAGUGGUCUCCCAAUUGGGAGGGUCCCUAUCGGAUAAGUCGAUCGGCUCCUGGUAAUGCCUAUGUUCUAGAAACUCUCGAAGGAGUCGAAUUUCCCAGAGCAUUAAAUGGCAAAUAUCUGAAGAAGUAUUACCCCAGCAUAUGGGUCGAUGCAUAAGAGUUAAGUGCCGAUAACAUCCCUAUCGGCUGGGUCAAAAUGUGUCUGGGAUCAGACUUAGUGUCUUAAAAGGGUGCCGAUAACAGUCCUAUCGGCUAGACCAAGUAUCAGGAAGGUCGGGAUACAGAAAAAGGCGAGUGUGUUGCCGAUGAAGAGCUCAUAAGUCUAGCAACGCCUGGAUGGCCGAUAUGGCGCGUAGGCGGAUUUGGUUAGCUGCUUCUAUCUCUUUGGUGUCUUCAUCAGCAGAGCCUUCCACUGGUUUCAAUUUCUUCUUUAGCAGCAAUGCUUUGCGGCCAUGGACAUUUCGUUCUUGCUCAAGAAGCUUGAUUGUCUCCGGCAGUUGGCUUUCUUCUUGUCGGGCUUGGGACAGGGCAUCCUCUACUUGCUUGAGUUCUACUAGCAGAGUUUCUCUUCUUGCCGAUAAGUCAGAAAUCUUUUGCUUCAGUGCGUCUCCCGAGGACUUCAAGGUGCCGAUGUUCUUGUGCUUUUCAUCGGUAAGAAGCUUUUCUUUCAUCAUCUCCUCGGAAAGCUGAGUCUGAGCGGCUCUAUCGGCAAGGCGCUGGGCAGCCCUCUGGUACUGCAGUUGACGGCUCUCCAGAUGAGCUGCUUGAAAGAGGAUUUCUUCGGCAUCGGCGGGGAUUUGGCCUCUCAGGGUCUUGAACAAAGCCUUGGCCGGAUCAGAGUCAUCGACUAGUUGGGCUGUAUCUUGGUGGAGGAGAGCCGAUAGUUCUUCCAGCUUUGCCCUGACCUCUAUCGAUGUGAUCCCAACUGCCCGGGAAGAGCUUGCUUCUUCACCUUUAUCGUCAGAGAUGUCGAUGGCGAAGGAGAAUAGGCUGUCGGGAGAGUCCUGCUCCUGAAAAAGAGUUAAAACGAGUUAUUCUAUGGUCAGGUAUUGAUGAAUAAUGCAGAUGGAGAUUGGAGAACUUACUUGCUUCAGGGCAAUCUCUCGCCUCAGACUAGAAGAUGCCGACGGAAUCAUGGGUUGAUCGGCUGAGGUUGCCGAUUGAACUAUGUCAGCUGAAAAGUGACAGAGAUAGUUGUAAGACAGAAAGGGUAAGUUCAUCGGCAAUAAUUUCAUGGGAAGUAUAUUACCUUGGGGAAGUGCAGUACUUGUCUGAAUGGAAGAGACUACUGAUGAUAUGAUUAAGCUUGCUGGAUCGGUGGUCUGCUCGCCUACAUUAGCCGAUGUGUCUUCCGGCUGGGGUACUUCUGGCUGGGGUUCUUCCACUUGAGGUACUACUGGCAGAUGAGGGGGGGAUGGUACCUGCUGCAUCUGUGCUUCUGGGGAGGAAGGAGAGGAUUCCACUGGAAUUGGUGAUACCGGGGGAGGAGAAGGCGUUGCUGCUCUUUGGCGUUUCGCCCGUCCUCUGGUACUUUUGGUAGCUUUCCUCUUCAGCUAGCUGGACUGGGGGGCAUCAGCACUUCUACUUCUGGUCUUUGCCGAUGCGCCAGUAUGCUGCGUAAGGAAUAAGGAUUCGUAAGCACAAGUGUGGCAGAUGUAAAAAUAGAAUCGGUAUAAAUAGAAAGGUUUAACAAUUACCUUGAAAGCCUGUGCUAAGGUGGAGGCGGUUACCGACGGAGAUGUCUUGGUCCUCUUGGUGGUCACUUUCUUAAGAUGUACACCUCGGUGCAUGAUAGCAGCUAGAGUGGGAGCGUUGUUGCUGAUUGAAGAGAUCGGACCUGAUGGAAACAGAUCAAUCGGCUUGCCGCUCCUACUGAUAGAUGGGGGAAUGUUAUCAACCUGCAACGACACACAAAGAGUAAGUUACCGAUGAAUAUGGGAGUAAAGGGAUAAAAAUGUCAGUUCAAAGGUACUUACAGUAUUGUCGGGGACUUUGUACUGGGGAUCGAUCAUGCCGCGAUAUGUAAGGGCCGAUUUGCAGAACAAGUGCUCCUUCCACUCCUCGCACCAUUGCUUGUAUGCCUGAGUGACAAAGAGAACUGGAACCCACUCUGACAAAUCGACAUCCGUAUCGGCAUUUGGUGCUAGCUGGGCCACUCUGAUCCACUCGAUAAGAUUAUUGAUGAUCUCUCUGGGUUUUAUCACAUCGGCAUAACAGAGUGCAAUCGGCAGCUGGCCGAAGGCUAAUUGACGAGCUAAUGCCGAUGGGUUGUAAAACUCAUAGGUUUGAUUGGAAGUUUUCCCACUGCCGAAGAAGUUCACUGGUAUAACUCUGGGGGUGAUCAGUGCCAUCAUUACCUCGUUAUCCUUGUUAAGAUCAUUGUUGAAUGGAUGGAAGACCAAAGGGAACAUGGUGUCUGGAUCUUCAUAGGGCAUCCAUGCUAGCUGUUCUCUGGUUAGGCCCUCGUACAAGAUUUGGAAGAAUCGGCUGACCUGAUCUGCGUUACCUCCUGUGCCAGGCAAGACUAUGGCAGCCUCACCGAAGUUCAGAGGAGGGCGAGUUGCCGAUUCCUCUUUAUCCAGUUCAUGGUUCUCGACUAUAUCCCUAGGGAAACGCUGUGCAAAGAGGUCGAACUCAAGGCACUUGUGCAUGUGAAGGUUGAGCCACAUGUCAAUAAACCACCAGGGACCCCUCAAGUUGCCGAUAGGUUGACCGAGCAGGAGUUUCUUGGCUACCUGGUGGAGGAGAUGGUAGGCAGCACCAAGCAGGUAUCGGCCAAGGGGAAAUCGGCCACCAUUAGCCAGUCUCUCUGCCGCCGAUAGGUAAAUGGAGGUCGGUCCUGCCGAUCGGCCGUAGAAUAUGAAUUUGUCCAGCCACAUGUUCAGAAAGGUGGUUUGCUCCUUUAUGUUGACGGACCCUGUUUUACGAUACUUCUGAAUAUACCCAGACCUGCCACCAAUAGCGCGGGUUUCCACUUUGGCGCUAGGCGCGGUGUCGAAAAAGUGGGUGAUAUUGGCACAAGAUACGUCCAGGCCGAUGAGCAUAACUACAUCGGCAAGAGUGGGGGAAGCAGGGACGUGGCCAAAGACAAAGGCAUUGAGCGUGUCUAACCAGAAGUAUGAUGCAGCUAUCAACAACGACUCGUUCCUAUACAUAUCGGCAAUGGACAACCUGAUACAUUAGUCCAGUUUUCUCUCACCCCACUGGACUUCGUUUGAAUGGCUGACUCUCAAGAACCAAUCCUUCCACCCUACGGUGGGGCUGGGCCAGGAACGAAAAGUGUCCCUCCACAGAUCUAAGGAAAAGGUUUCGGCUCUAAAAGGGAUCCUGUUUGUUUCUGCAUUAAUCAAAUCUGUGGGAUCUGGAUUCCCUAAUGGACCAAGGCAUUGGAAGUGCGGCUGAUCGGUAGGGAUGAUUAGUUUGUUGGACAUAUCCUGUUGGUUUUAGGGAUGAAAAGAAGGAAAGGAACAAAAAGAAAGAAAAAGAAAAGGAUGCUCAGUGAAAUAAAUUACGAACAAACAGGAGUGCGGGGAAAGCACAAGAGGUGGAAUGAAGAACUAACCUCAGGGACGGUGAAGUUGAUGGCCAUCUCUUCACGAAGAGGAUGAUCGAGGGCCUCGGAGUUGGAGGAGAAAGGGCUUCGUUGGAGAUCUCGGAGCUCUCGAACAGCGCCGCCGCCGGGAAAGUGGAGUUGGAGCUGUAGAAUGAUGUGAUGGGGAAGGAGUACCCGAGAAGGAACUAUUUAUAGGACAAAACGGGCAAGGGCAAAUCUGACUUAUCUCUUCGCCGUAUCCGUGAAAUCCGAGGGUACUCAGGUAGAUAUGGUAACUGUUCGCACGAUAAUCAUGGGAUUGUGCAGGUGAUUUGACAGGAAGCGGUCGUUAUCCGGAGAUAUUUUACUGUGCGGGAUCUCCUGGUCGGUCCAUCGGCAGCGUCUUGUAACAGUAAUAUUGCCGAUGGGUGGAUAAAGUGGAAAUAGUCGUUUGGGAGAAUAAGAUACGUUACUGAGUAUCCUGGUUAGUUCAUCGGCAGGUCUCUGUAACGGUAAUACUACCGAUAAGCGAUCAAAGUGAAGGUGCCUACUCGGGAAGUUGAGGAUUUUAAGGAAUCUGCGGAAGAGACAAACUGAGGUUGUUCAGGUUGAGGUUGUCGGUUACCAAAUUGGGAGAAUUAAUUACGGAGAAGCAUCAUUACUGUAGGGAAUUUCGGAGCAUUAAUGAUUUCAUACUCCGAAAUUGGGGGGCAUGUGUUGACACCGUUUUUGGGCACGUGUCCAUGGUCGGUAAAAUACAGGUUGGCAAGACAAAACGGCAGUGCUUGGUCUACAGGAUUAGUUGCCGAUGAGGAUGGUUGCCGAUGGAAGGACGGCUGAACAUGACCAAGUCAAUAGGUGAUGAUGUGUUUGUGCCGAUGACUACGAUAGGGGAGUCUGCCAACGACGUGGAGGAAGAACCUAAAGGUUGCCGAUCGGCUUGUGGAGAUGUUCUAGUUUGUCACGGGAGGAUAGUUUUAUGUUUUCCUUAGUUAUUUAGAUCGUUUUGUAUACGGAUUCUGUUUAAUUUGGAAUUCGAAUUCUAGUCGUGUCUGGUUGUAGCUCUGCGAACAGGGUAUAAGUAUAGACCCUGAGGCUUUGUAAACAGACAUCUAUCAAUCAAUCAAACACCAAUUUUUACUCAUAUUCUAGCAUAUACUUUUUCGAUGACUUCGUCAUACUUUUUCCUUUUAUUACGAAUUCUUAGGAGUUCGUCGACUUAAGCUCGGCGUGUUCUCAAGUUCCGCGUGAAUACCUCUUGGCCGUGGCAUCCGGGCGCAUCGCUGUUGUCGGGACCAAAGUAUUCGAGUUACCACCUUUGCCGAUAGUAAGGUCAAAUCGGCUGGCAUGCCUUAACGUUUAAAUCGGGUAUUAGCCCUCUGUGUUUGCAGAUCCGCUUUUGCAUCAAUAGCACCUCAAUUAGAUAUUCUACAAAGUCAUUAGCAUGGAAUUAGAACGAACUACAAGAAUAUUUCCUAAGUUACUCUCAACUAUAUAGUCUAGCAUUAUCAUAGUUAGUGCAAGCAUACUUAGCAAUCAUUGUGAGACAAGACUACCCUUGUAAUAAUGUUGCUCUGCCAGCCCAAUACACGAGAGGGGGACUAUAUAAGAAUCAAUGAAGCUGUCACUAUCACGAACUACCCCGCGAUCUGGCAUAUUGGGUACAAUCGCAGAUAAAUACGGUAUAAGCACCACGCCUACACAAUAUCUAUCAUUUACCCAUGGAUCCGAUGGAUAAACGCUAUACGAUCCUAAACAUGUAUAUAGAUCCAAUCUAACUAAGCCAAGUAUAUAACUAUGAUAAACUAAGAACAAUAUAAUCUUGAAUAUAAACAAGUAGAGCAAAGUCAUAAGCAAUAUAAUGAAGUAGAACAAAGUCAUAUUCAUAAUAUUGAAGAACAAGAUGAACAAUUAGAAGAACAAUUAGAGAAUUACCAAGAAUCCUCUUGACAGAUCCGGAAACCAAUCGAAGAUUGACUCCUUCUAGUUCUAAUCCUAUGUAGCUAUGCUAAUCUAGAUGGAACUAAUCCUAUGUAGCCAUGCUAAUCUAGAUGUCUAAUUGAUGUGGUGGCUCUAGGCUUGAUCAGAGGCUUCUUCUCCCUUGAGGAAUAAUGAAUUAGGGUUGAGAGGCUCUCUCCUCCAGGGGCCAGGGGGUCUGGUUUUAUAGUCCUUCCAAGUGAAUAUGGGCCGUUGGAUCAAACCGACAUUGAUUGAACGGUUAUCCUUGAUCCUCUAGGUCGGUGGAGAUUGAUCCCGAAAGAGAGUUCUGAUUGGACUCUUCAGGGGGCGGGCGCCCUGGUCACCUGGGCGGGCGCCUAGGGCCAGGCCCCGUUCGGCCUCCGCUUCCUUCCCGUGGCUUCUAGAGUCUUCUAGAUGUAAGAUAAUUGCGCGGCACAUUGUUAUCUCUAUGUAAUCCCGACGUGUGGGCCUUUCUUCUGUAUUUCCUGAUAACCCCCUGCAGAAAUAGACAAACACCAAAACUCAUGGAAUUCUGUCAAAUAAAACCCUAAAUCUAGAUGUUGAUUUCAUUUGGAUCCUUUUCUUUGUUUAUUUGAUAAUUAAAUUUGAUACUUAAGGACCGUCAACAAACUCCCCCAAGCUUACCUCUUGCUCGUCCCUGAGCAAGGAUAAUCUCAGCGAUGGAUCAGAAGUUGUUAUAAUGCCUUUAAAAAUUGACGGUACACAUGCUUUUAAAUAAGAUCUCAUCUCUGAGUUAGAGUAAACUAUCAAGACUUAAAACUUACUUACUUUACCUUUCACCAUGGUACUUGUAACCGUCUCUUCUGUCUUGAGUAGUUAAAAGAUAGAAUAGUCUAGUCAAGUGCCAUGUCUCUUAUUCUUGAUCAGCUAUAGCUUUGGAGUUUUUGUAGAUUUUCAAAUAAAACUCAGAGAUUCCUUGUAUGACAGUCUCAGAUCUCUCUUUUGUGGUAUUUCUGGAUCCUUACUAAGACAGUGAUGGUAUAUGUCUUCUCUCAAGUAUGUAGUAUUUGUGGUAUAAGGCAUGGUGAUAUUGCCUUCUCUCUCACCCUACUCUAAUAAGGCUUUUGAUAUCUGGAGCUCAUAGGUGGGAGAUAAAGUAUACAUACUUACAAGACAUUUAUUGCAUAGUCAAACCAUGGAUCCAAAAAAACAAGUCAAUAAGUCAAAUCAAGAUGUGCAUGUGUGGUGAAUGAAUGGUGUAUGGUGAAAGUAUAAUUCUACUUUUGCUCUCUUGAGGGGAUACAUACCUUUCUUGCUUUUUGAAACUUUGUGAGGAAAAUGAGAUGCUCUUCUUUUUUUUCUUUCCUCUCCGGUGGGUAUCUUGUACCCCUAAUUCUACUGUCGGACACUUGUCCAUUUUUACCUCUCGCCUCACUUUUUCUUUUCUUUCGAGGUUCCGGGCACUUGACCCUUUUUAUUUCCACGUAUCUUGUCCCUUUUUUUAGAGCACACAUCUCUUGAGAUAAUAUAGCAAGUUGUAGAAAAUAUUUUUGGCUAUUCUCUCCCGGAUUAGGAGUAGAAUAUUUUUGGGUGGUUCUGGAGAUGGAAAUGAGUGGAUAUAUGUGGAUGCGUACUUCCAGAGUAGAAGCAGCAUGUGUGAGUGAAGGUAAGGGAAUCUUGAUUUAACCACAUGACAAGCUCCUAAGGGUGUACACAGCUUGACCACACUCAAUGCUCAUAAGCAGUAAAUAGUAAAUGGGUGGCUCAAAGUCUAGUAAGCAUGUAUAUAUGGCUGUGGUAGGAAUUUAAACUCUCAUUAUACAGGAACUCAUCAUGCAAUAUUUUAAAGAUUUUCAAAGAUAAAAUUCUCUAGAAUUCUAGCAUCUCUAGGAACAGAUAAACAACAGCUCAAUCUUCCCAUAUCGUAUCCGUUAACAACUUAGACUUCAGAUCAAGUUUUCUUCCCACAAGUUUAGGUUUAGAGCAAGCUUUAAAUUAUAACAGUUAUAUCUAAACUUGAGAGAGAACUUUAAAUUUUAAAAAUUAGGCAGAGCAACUAUUCAUCAUAUCCAUGCUAGAGUUUUAUUAUUAAAAUUCAGUUUAGCAUAGCCACUUUAUUUAUUUAUUAAACACACUAAGCGAAAGAUAUAUAUAUAUAAGCAUAAAAUCUUUUUUUGGUUUUCCAUAGUUAUGUAUAUUUAUAUUUUAAUAUAGUAUAAGUAUAAAGAUAGAUAGAAAUACUUAGCGGGAUAAAUGGGGGUGCUCUCCCCCAAGCUGAAUUUUGACGUAAUUUCUUUUGAUGUAGCCAGCAGGUGGCAGAGGUGUAUUUGAAAGUCGGCAGUAUCUUGCCAACGAUUAGAAUGUCCUCUGUCUGCUAGUCUUCUUGAUUCUUAAAUUCUGUGGAGCUCAAAUAGACAACAAAGCUUUGUGGAACUAAUUAAGUGUUAGCAUAAACAUCUAGCCUUUAUCAUGUUGAGACUCCUUAAUAACUAUUACUCUCUAUUUUUAUAUUUUCAUUUUAUAAAGCAGAGAAAAUAUUUAUUUUAUUUUUAUGCCACCACAUUGAAUGUACUUAUGGGUUUCAUGCCACUCGUAUACUCACAUGGGGCUUACUAUUUUUUAACAUUUUUAUUUUCUUUUUAGGAUAGUAUGAAUAUGAUUAACUAAGCAAACUAUUUUAAUAAUUGAAAGGGAAAAGAUAACUACCAAGUUUACCUCUUGGCAAGGCGUUCGGUGUUUUUAAGUCCUCCGAACGGGACUCUCCGUUUUCUAGUUGUCCUGGGAUUCGUUGGGUGGCGUAGUCGGUACUUCCGGCAGCGCCACAUCUUCAUAUAUAGUUAUCUUCUCUCUCCAUUCCUGACUCUGUACUACGGUCUCCUCUGGAUAAUUCUGUUUAAAUUGUAUGUCUUCUGACCUUACCACUUCUCCUUCGUAGUCUGCCCAUCCGUCCUUGAUGAUUUCCCUCCUCUAGUUGCGGUUGCGUCAUUUUCUGACCUGCUUAGAGUCUUCAAUGAUAUAAUUAGAGUCAGUAAAAUAGCGGCGUACCUUCUCUGAGGGGAAGUGCAUGUGGACUUCUCCGGUUCCAAUGUAGAUGAUAGCUUUAACGGUGCUGAGGAACGGUCUUCCAAGGAUGAUGGGUGGAUUGUACUCGUCUUCUCCCAUGUCAAUAACCUGAAAGUCUGUGUAGACAAAAUGAUCGUCUAUUUUGACUGGGACAUCAGUUACUGUUCCUUUAACUUCUCGAAAUGUCUGAUCUGCCAUCUGGAGCUAAAUGUAUGUUGGUUUUAAGGGCAUGUUCCGAACAAGAGCCGAUAGGUGACUGCGGCCAUUAUGUUGACGCCCGAUCCGGUGUCACAAGUCGUCUUGUAGAAGUUAUAUCCAUUUAUGGAGCAAUAGAUACUUGGCAUUCCAGGGUCAUCCUUCUUGGUCAAAAAUGGUGACCUAAGUUGAUAAUCUUGGCCUCCAUGAACUGUAGUGACCAUCUUAGCUGACUCGGUCCACACUUGCUUGUUCAUGUUCCUCCUGUUGGUCCUCUUCCUUGGUUCAUGUCU